rnacentral:piRNA from 1 species
UCUUAAGGUCGCUUUCCAUUGGGAGAAAAGG